rnacentral:lncRNA from 1 species
CAUACUUUUCCCGACCGACUGAACCUAGAAGUCUGUUGGCUGACUCACGCAAGACUCGCCGACCAACAGAGGGGCCCGACGCCACUCAGCUGGCCACCGACCUAGGGUCGGUCGACUCCUCCGAUCGCCGUACAGCCGCCAAAGCUUGUCAGUUCUGACAGCAACAUGCGGCACGGCCACCUAGGGGCAUUGUCCCGCCGAGGGCAUUGUC